rnacentral:rRNA from 1 species
UACGUAGGAGGCAAGCGUUAUCCGGAUUUACUGGGUGUAAAGGGAGGGCAGACGGCAGUGCAAGUCUGAUGUGAAAGCCCGGGGCUCAACCCCGGAACUGCAUUGGAAACUGUACAGCUUGAGUGUCGGAGAGGUAAGCGGAAUUCCUAGUGUAGCGGUGAAAUGCGUAGAUAUUAGGAGGAACACCGGUGGCGAAGGCGGCUUACUGGACGAUGACUGACGUUGAGGCUCGAAAGCGUGGGGAGCAAACAGGAUUAGAUACCCUGGUAGU